rnacentral:rRNA from 1 species
GAAUUGACGGGGGACCCGCACAAGCGGUGGAGCAUGUGGUUUAAUUCGAAGCAACGCGAAGAACCUUACCAACUCUUGACAUCCCCCUGACCGGUACAAAAAUGUACCUUCCCCUUCGGGGGAAGGGGUGACAGGUGGUGCAUGGUUGUCGUCAGCUCGUGUCGUGAGAUGUUGGGUUAAGUCCCGCAACGAGCGCAACCCUUGUCCUUAGUUGCCAGCAUUUGGUUGGGCACUCUAAGGAGACUGCCGGUGACAAACCGGAGGAAGGUGGGGAUGACGUCAAAUCAUCAUGCCCCUUAUGAGUUGGGCUACACACGUGCUACAAUGGACGGUACAAAGGGCAGCGAAACCGCGAGGUGGAGCCAAUCCCAUAAAGCCGUUCUCAGUUCGGAUUGCAGGCUGCAACUCGCCUGCAUGAAGUCGGAAUCGCUAGUAAUCGCAGGUCAGCAUACUGCGGUGAAUACGUUCCCGGGUCUUGUACACACCGCCCGUCACACCACGAGAGUUUGCAACACCCGAAGUCGGUGAGGUAACCGUAAGGAGCCAGCCGCCGAAGGUGGGGCAGAUGAUUGGGGUGAA